rnacentral:rRNA from 1 species
CCCAGACUCCUACGGGAGGCAGCAGUGGGGAAUAUUGCACAAUGGGGGAAACCCUGAUGCAGCGACGCCGCGUGAGUGAAGAAGUAUUUCGGUAUGUAAAGCUCUAUCAGCAGGGAAGAAAAUGACGGUACCUGACUAAGAAGCCCCGGCUAACUACGUGCCAGCAGCCGCGGUAAUACGUAGGGGGCAAGCGUUAUCCGGAUUUACUGGGUGUAAAGGGUGCGCAGGUGGCAGGGCAAGUCUGAUGUGAAAGCCCGGGGCUCAACCCCGGUAUUGCAUUUGAAACUGUCCGGCUAGAGUGCAGGAGAGGUAAGCGGAAUUCCUAGUGUAGCGGUGAAAUGCGUAGAUAUUAGGAGGAACACCAGUGGCGAAGGCGGCUUACUGGACUGUAACUGACACUGAGGCACGAAAGCGUGGGGAGCAAACAGGAUUAGAUACCCGGGUAAU